CUUCGGAAUGCCAGUGACUCAUGUUUCCUACAAACUGCUUGGAGAAAUCUUUUGUCUUUGGUUUACUGGACUUCCUCUCACUAUAUAUUCAAGAUGUUGGACUGACAACAUCAGAGCUGUCCUGAAAUGUCAAAAAGGAAACUUUCAGAAUUGAGUUGGAAGACAGAUGGAACACCCUGGCUGUGGUGUGAGUGAAGGUGAUGGAGGGAAACCCCUACCUCUACUGCCUGAUAGACAGACUAUAGAGGAGCAGCCUGCAUUGUGAGCUCUUUGACGUGCUGUGUGGCUUCUGACACCUCCCUGGGCCUCAGUUUCCUCACCUGUAAAAUGGGCACAAAAUGAAAAAUAUUUGUCUCACAAGGUGUGGCAAAAUUGAAAUGUAAUGACACGCAGCACGGUGUGAUGCACACAUCAAGGCUUCAGGGUUUGAGGGUGCUACACUCCUCUAUCAACCGGAACAGUCCGAGAUCGCUUCCUGCAACAUCUGCAGUUCAUAUUCCUGUUCAGGGUUACGCUCCUGAUGUUGCCACCACUGAAAGGACAAGACAAACCACCCGGGGCUGAAAUUCUGUGCUUCAGAGCAGCCGAGGAUGGGGUGGGCUUUCCAAAUGGCUUCUUGCAUUGAGCCCAAGGCGUGGAAUAUGAAUUUGAUAAACCCUGGAAUGGAUUGUCAAGGGGAAGUUUGAAGCCUCUUUCUCCAGGAGCUUUUAAAAAUAGAUAGACACUCAUCAGUCUGAGCCAGUUGCAGCCUGGUGCUAUCUGGAGAUGACAUGAUGGAUUGGCUUCUGGCUGGGAACAGAGGAGAAAGGAAUCUCCUUUCUACUGAGGUCUACUGACUGAGCAUUUCACCUCACCUUUCAGAGCAUUUCAGCAUUGCUGAUUUUCUCUGACUGAAGAAAUCACAACUGUUCAUUAUUUAAAAUUCAGAGAAACUGUAAA